AGUAGGGAGGAAGGUAGUGUAGUUAACACCUGCAUUAUUUGACGUUACCUACAGAAGAAGCACCGGCUAACUCCGUGCCAGCAGCCGCGGUAAUACGGAGGGGUGCGAGCGUUAAUCGGAAUUACUGGGCGUAAAGCGCAUGCAGGCGGCCUGUUAAGUCAGAUGUGAAAGCCCGGGGCUUAACCUCGGAAUUGCAUUUGAAACUGGCAGGCUAGAGUCUUGUAGAGGGGGUAGAAUUUCAGGUGUAGCGGUAAAAAUGCGUAGAGAUCUGAAGGAAUACCAGUGGCGAAGGCGGCCCCCUGGACAAAGACUGACGCUCAGAUGCGAAAGCGGUGGGGAGACAAACAGGAUUAGAUACCCUGGUAG
rnacentral:rRNA from 1 species